AUUGAACGCUGGCGGCAGGCCUAACACAUGCAAGUCGAACGAGUGGCGGCCGGGUUAGUAAUGUCUGGGAAACUGCCUGGUGGAGGGGGAUAACUACUAGACACGAUAUCUAAUCCCGCAUACCAUACUAUGUCCCCAGAUGGGAUUAGAUUGUUGGUGGGGUAACGGCGCACCAAGGCGACGAGCCCUAGCUGGUCUGCGAGGAUGACCAGCCACACUGGAACGGAGACACGGUCCAGACUCCGACGGUAGGCAGCAGUGGGGAAUAUUGCACAAUGGGCGCAAGCCUGAUGAAGCCAUGCCGCGUGUAUGAAGAAGGCCUUCGGGUUGUAAAGUACUUUCAGCGGGGAGGCGUUACCCGCAGAAGAAGCACCGGAUAACUCCGUGCCAGCAGCCGCGGUAAUUC
rnacentral:rRNA from 1 species